UCGACCAUACAUCCGAUACCACCCUAUGACAUUCAUCAUCUUGAAGCCAAAAAGACUCGAAGGUACAUCCCUUGGUUUCAAGGUCCAUCAAGGCACAGUAGUCUAAUAAAUCUCUAAAAGAUUGCAACCGAUAUUGCUGAGGUUCUGUCAAUAUCGGUUCGGUAACAGAAGAAAUCUGCAAGGUAGGUAAGGGACUGCAAUGAGGGUUCUUGGUGGUAUGAAGCUCCUCAGAUGGAGUUUGAGCCUUUAUACUUGAAGGUGCUGCAGGAAGUAAUAAAGG